UACGAAGGGUGCAAGCGUUACUCGGAAUUACUGGGCGUAAAGCGUGCGUAGGCGGUUUGUUAAGUCUGUUGUGAAAGCCCCGGGCUCAACCUGGGAAUGGCAAUGGAAACUGGCGAGCUAGAGUACGGUAGAGGAGAGUGGAAUUCCCGGUGUAGCAGUGAAAUGCGUAGAGAUCGGGAGGAACAUCAGUUGCGAAGGCGGCUCUCUGGACCAGUACUGACGCUGAGGCACGAAAGCGUGGGGAGCAAACAGG
rnacentral:rRNA from 1 species